rnacentral:rRNA from 1 species
AGAGUUUGAUCAUGGCUCAGGAUGAAUGCUGGCGGCGUGCCUAAUACAUGCAAGUCGAACGGGUUUAGACCCGUGGCGAACGGGUGAGUAACGCGUAGGUAGCUGCUCCGAAGUCGUGGAUAACCAGCCGAAAGGUUGGCUAAUACACGAUGGUUCCCGCAAGGGUAAAGAUUUAUCGCUUCGGAAGGCGCCUGCGUCCUAUCAGCUUGUUGGUGAGGUAAUGGCUCACCAAGGCUAUGACGGGUAACCGGUCUGAGAGGAUGAUCGGUCACAGUGGGACUGAGACACGGCCCACACUCCUACGGGAGGCAGCAGUAGGGAAUUGUCGGCAAUGGGCGCAAGCCUGACCGCGCGACGCCGCGUGGAGGAAGAAGGCCUUCGGGUUGUAAACUCCUUUUAUGAGGGACGAUUAUGACGGUACCUCAUGAAUAAGGACCUGCUAACUACGUGCCAGCAGCAGCGGUAAUACGUAGGGUCCAAGCAUUAUCCGGAAUUACUGGGCGUAAAGAGUACGUAGGUGUUUUAUUAAGUCGGUCGUUAAAUCUCACUGCUUAACAGUGAGGCUGCGAGCGAUACUAAUAGAAUUGAGUGUCUCAGGGGCAAGCAGAAUUCUUGGAGUAGGGGUGAAAUCCGUUGAUACCAAGAGGAAUACCAAUGGCGAAGGCAGCUUGCUAGGAGAACACUGACACUGAGGUACGAAAGCGUGGGGAGCAAAGGGGAUUAGAUACCCCCGUAGUCCACGCCGUAAACGAUGCCAACUAGCAAUUGGGAGAGUCGACCCUCUCGGUUGCGAAGCUAACGCGUCAAGUUGGCCGCCUGGGGAGUACGGUCGCAAGACUAAAACUCAAAUGAAUUGACGG